UACGUAGGGUGCGAGCGUUGUCCGGAUUUACUGGGCGUAAAGGGCGCGUAGGCGGUCGUGACAAGUCACUUGUGAAAUCUCCGGGCUUAACUCGGAACGGUCAAGUGAUACUGUCGUACUAGAGUACAGAAGGGGCAACUGGAAUUCUCGGUGUAGCGGUGAAAUGCGUAGAUAUCGAGAGGAACACCUGCGGCGAAGGCGGGUUGCUGGGCUGAUACUGACGCUGAGGCGCGAAAGCUAGGGGAGCGAACGGG
rnacentral:rRNA from 1 species